GACGAACGCUGGCGGCGCGCUUAACACAUGCAAGUCGAACGGAAAGGCCUGCUUUCCCUUGUGGAUUGCGGGUACUCGAGUGGCGAACGGGUGAGUAACACGUGAGUGAUCUGCCCCCAACUUGGGUAUAAGCCUGGGAAACUGGGUCUAAUUCCCGAUAGGACUGCAGGGUGGUGCCUGUGGUGGAAAACGAUUUUCUAGUGGUUGGGGAUGAGCUCGCGGCCUAUCAGCUUGUUGGUGGGGUAAUGGCCUACCAAGGCGGCGACGGGUAGCCGGCCUGAGAGGGUGGACGGCCACAUUGGGACUGAGAUACGGCCCAGACUCCUACGGGAGGCAGCAGUGGGGAAUAUUGCACAAUGGGCGGAAGCCUGAUGCAGCGACGCCGCGUGGGGGAUGACGGCCUUCGGGUUGUAAACUCCUUUCGACCGCGAGGAUGCCACCUGGUUGGAAGGGUGGUGACGGUAGUGGUAGAAGAAGCACCGGCUAACUACGUG
rnacentral:rRNA from 1 species